UGGCUUGGUAGGAGCAGUACUGGGA
rnacentral:miRNA from 1 species